AUUGAACGCUUGCGGCAGGCCUAACACAUGCAAGUCGAACGGUAACAGGAAGUAGCUUGCUACUUUGCUGACGAGUGGCGGACGGGUGAGUAAUGUCUGGGGAUCUGCCUGAUGGAGGGGGAUAACUGCUGGAAACGGUAGCUAAUACCGCAUAAUGUCGCAAGACCAAAGCGGGGGACUUUCGGGCCUCGCACCAUCAGAUAAACCCAGAUGGGAUUAGCUAGUAGGUAGGGUAAUGGCUUACCUAGGCGACGAUCCCUAGCUGGUCUGGGAGGACGACCAGCCACACUGGAACUGAGACACGGUCCAGACACCUACGGGUGGCAGCAGUCGAGAAUUUUUCACAAUGGGCGAAAGCCUGAUGGAGCGACGCCGCGUGGGGGAUGAAUGGCUUCGGCCCGUAAACCCCUGUCAUUUGCGAUCAACUGUUAUUAUUUAAAAGAUGAUAACCUGAUAGUAGCGAAAGAGGAAGGGACGGCUAACUCUGUGCCAGCAGCCGCCGUAA
rnacentral:rRNA from 1 species